AUGUCAUGCUUUAAACUACCUCGUAGCCUAUGCGAGCAUCUGAAUUCGUUGAUACGGAAAUUUUGGUGGGGGACUAAAGAGGGCAAAAGAAAACCAAGUUGGGUUUCAUGGAGUAUGAUGACUAGACCAAAGCAAUGUGGUGGACUUGGCUUUAGGGAUAUUGAGUUGUUCAAUCUCUCACUUUUAGCCAGACAAGCAUGGUGAAUCCUUAUGGAGCAAAACUCUCUAAGUGCUCGGAUUGUCAAAGCUAAGUAUUUUCUUGCAUCUGGAAUUUUGCAUGCUGAACUGGGUUGAUGUCCUUUCCAGGUCUGGAGGUCAAUCCUAGAUGGUCACGAUACUUUAGUGUAAGGAUUAAUUCGACACAUUGGUGAUGGUCUGACGACCAACAUCUGGCAGCAUAAUUGGCUACCACACUACUGGAAUCAGCUACUUUGCCAUCUGCCAGUUCUUUGUCGUCCGCUAGCGGACGGCAAAGAAGCUCUUUGCCAUCAGCUUCCAAAAAGUGGACGGCAAAGAACUGGCUGA
rnacentral:rRNA from 1 species